UACGAAGGGGGCUAGCGUUGUUCGGAAUUACUGGGCGUAAAGCGCACGUAGGCGGAUUUGUAAGUCAGGGGUGAAAUCCCGGGGCUCAACCUCGGAACUGCCUUUGAUACUGCGGGUCUUGAGUCCGAUAGAGGUGGGUGGAAUUCCUAGUGUAGAGGUGAAAUUCGUAGAUAUUCGCAAGAACACCAGUGGCGAAGGCGGCUCACUGGCCCGAUACUGACGCUGAGGCACGAAAGCGUGGGGAGCAAACAGG
rnacentral:rRNA from 1 species